UGCAUUCUGUGAACUUAAUUCUGUUCAAUGUGUCUCCUCUGUCUUCUCAGGCCCAGGAGGAUCUUACAGCCAGGGAGACCUGCAAGGCUGGAUUCUCAGAAGAAGGUUACACGGCAUUAAUCUCCCCAGAUAUUCUGCAAGGAGAGAGGCUGCUCAAAGCCCCUGUGUCUGUCCCGAUUCCCCAGCAGGAACCUGGGAACCUCGACCCACUGACUCGGGUCCUCAGAACCUGACCUCUGGGAGGGUCCCAGGCCCCGCGUGGCCCUGAGACCAGGCCCUGAAUUCAAAGGCGCUCUAAGCCACCUGUCCCUUGGCCUGGGGAACCAUCUGCUGUCAUCCGUCAUUGGGGCCGCGUCUGGGUCACGGUGAUUCGUGUUUGGAAAUAAACGCACGAUCCUU
rnacentral:lncRNA from 1 species